rnacentral:rRNA from 1 species
AACGAACGCUGGCGGCGCGUCUUAAGCAUGCAAGUCGAGCGGCAAGGGGGGAGCAAUCCCCCCUAGAGCGGCGGACUGGUGAGUAACACGUGGGUGAUCUACCUUUCGGCUGGGGAGUAGCCCGUGGAAACACGGGGUAAUACCGAAUACGUUGGCGGAGUCACGGCUCCGUCAGGAAAGGCCCGUUUGGGCCGCCGAAAGAUGAGCCUGCGGCUGAUUAGCUUGUUGGCGGGGUAACGGCCCACCAAGGCGAUGAUCAGUAGCCGGCCUGAGAGGGUGAACGGCCACAUUGGGACUGAGAUACGGCCCAAACUCCUACGGGUGGCAG